UACAGAGGUCUCAAGCGUUUGUUCGGAUUCAUUGGGCGUAAAGAGCUCGUAGGUGGUUUGCUGCGUCCGCUGUGAAAACCCAAGGCUUAACCUUGGGCUUGCAGUGGAUACGGGCAGACUAGAGGUAUGCAGGGGAGAAUGGAAUUCCUGGUGUAGCGGUGAAAUGCGCAGAUAUCAGGAGGAACACCAGUGGCGAAGGCGGUUCUCUGGGCAUUACCUGACGCUGAGGAGCGAAAGUGUGGGGAGCGAACAGG
rnacentral:rRNA from 1 species